rnacentral:rRNA from 1 species
AUUGAACGCUGGCGGCAGGCCUAACACAUGCAAGUCGAGCGGAUGAAGGGAGCUUGCUCCUGGAUUCAGCGGCGGACGGGUGAGUAAUGCCUAGGAAUCUGCCUGGUAGUGGGGGAUAACGUCCGGAAACGGGCGCUAAUACCGCAUGCGUCCUGAGGGAGAAAGUGGGGGAUCUUCGGACCUCACGCUAUCAGAUGAGCCUAGGUCGGAUUAGCUAGUUGGUGGGGUAAAGGCCUACCAAGGCGACGAUCCGUAACUGGUCUGAGAGGAUGAUCAGUCACACUGGAACUGAGACACGGUCCAGGCUCCUAAGGGAGGCAGAAGUGGGGAAUAUUGGACAAUGGGCGAAAGCCUGCUCCAGACAUGCAGCGUGUGUGAAGAAGGUCUUCGGAUUGGAAAGCACUUUAAGUUGGGAGGAAGGGCAGUAAGUUAAUACCUUGCUGUUGUGACGUUACCAGCAGAAUAAGCACCGGCUAACUACGUG